UUACGCACAAGGAGAAAUACAAUCAGUCCAUCCCAGACACCACUGCUAAGGGUGAGGUUGCGAUCGUGCAGGAAUGGGCAGCAAGGGGACAGCGGCAGCCCUCCAGCCCUCGUCCGGGGAAGCCCUGGUGGACGGCGGUGACAGGGAUCCUGCCCCGGGGACAGCGCUCCGAGGCACAUUUGUCUGGACUGAGAGACGGCCAGAAGUGUGGAUCCGCACAGCGGCAGAGACCGACCACGCGGGGCCCGGCCGGCCUCCUAGCAGCAGGCUGAUGACACCGGUCCCUUCCCCUCGUGGAAGGGGCAGAGACUUGUCCCCCGCAGAUUCCACCCAGAUCCUGGACACGGAACUGCCCUUCCC